rnacentral:rRNA from 1 species
ACGGGAGGCAGCAGUGAGGAAUAUUGGACAAUGGNCGGNAGNCUGAUCCAGCCAUGCCGCGUGCAGGAUGACNGCCCUAUGGGUUGUAAACUGCUUUUAUACGAGGGCAUCAGCAAAAUAGCGCUUGACCUACGUGUAGGCUGUCUGACGUUACCGUAAUGAAUAAUGACCGGAUUAAANNUCCGACCUGGGCAGUACGACCNCGCGGUUGAAACUAAACGGAAUUGUCCGGGCGUUAUCCGGAAUCAUUGGGUUUAAAGGGUCCGUAUGCGGGCCUGUAAGUCAGGGGUGAAAGUUUGUGGCUCAACCAUAAAAUUGCCUUUGAUACUGCAGGUCUUGAGUCAUGGUGGGGUUGCCGGAACAUGUGGUGUAGCGGUGAAAUGCAUAGAUAUCACAUAGAACACCGAUCGCGAAGGCAGGUGACCAACCAUGUACUGACGCUGAUGGACGAAAGCGUGGGUAGCGAACGGGAUUAGAUACCCCGGUAGUCCACGCCGUAAACGAUGGAUACUAGCUGUGGGGACUUCGGUCUCCGUGGCCAAGCGAAAGUGAUAAGUAUCCCACCUGGGGAGUACGUUCGCAAGAAUGAAACUNAAANGAAUUGACGG